CCGGGGUGGAGUAAUGUCUGGGAAACUGCCUGAUGGAGGGGGAUAACUACUGGAAACGGUAGCUAAUACCGCAUAACGUCUUCGGACCAAAGUGGGGGGACUUCGGGCCUCACGCCAUCGGAUGUGCCCAGAUGGGAUUAGCUAGUAGGUGGGGUAAUGGCUCACCUAGGCGACGAUCCCUAGCUGGUCUGAGAGGAUGACCAGCCACACUGGAACUGAGACACGGUCCAG
rnacentral:rRNA from 1 species